rnacentral:rRNA from 1 species
AUUGAACGCUGGCGGCAGGCCUAACACCUGCAAGUCGGGCGAGCGGCGGACGGGUGAGUACUGUAUGGGGACUGCCUGAUGGCGGGGGAUAACUACUGGCAACGGUAGCUAAUACCGCAUACCAUCAGCUAACCCAUAUGGGAGUAGCGUGUAGGUGAGGUACCGUCUCACCUAGGCGACGAUCCCUAGCUGGUCUGAGGUGAUGAUAAGGCACACUGGGACGGUGACACGUACAAGCAGCCUCCGGAGGCAGCAGAGGGGAAUAGUGAACACAGGGCGCAAGCAUGAUGCACCAAUGGCGCGUGUAUGAAGAAGGCCUUCGGGUUGUAAAAUGAUGUCAGUCGGGAUGCGGUACCGACAGAAGAAGCACCGGCUAACUCCGUGCCAGCCGCCGCGGUAAUAC